UGUUAAACAAGUCAUCCAUUUGUAGUGUUAAAAAAAUGGUAUGACUAACUGAAUAGACAAUGAUACUUGGUGUGCCACGUACACCUCAUGCUGAUGUAUAGAGAUCAGUUUUUAAUAGUAAAAAGUUAUGAAAUUUUUAAUA
rfam:Gossypium raimondii Chr11_contig_1272, whole genome shotgun sequence.